GCUAAAGAUAGUGGGCAGGAAGAGGUUGUGGAAAAAUUUCAGGGGUUUUGAAUCCCUUGAAAUUAAAUGCAAAAUGUGCCUAUAAAUUUGAGGAGGAGAAUAUUGAUAAAAUUUCAUCACAUUUUCAAAGACAUGCCUCCUGAAGGAUAAAACACCCUAACUCAGACUUUGGUGAUAAAUGCUGAAAUGUGUCCAGAAUCAUUUUCAAGAUCACACAGCUACAGCUGCGCAGUGAGGGGGAAUGGACCCAGCCUUUUUCCUGCACCCAAGAUUCCUGAACAGCCAGCUGGAAAUUCACUUAUGCCUCAGGAGACCACAGCUGCAUCUGAACACCAAGAUGAGGACCCACUAGAAGAUUCACAUCUUCAUUUGGAUAUUGAAGAAUUAAACAAGGAGUUUAUGUUGAGAAGUGAAGAACUCUAUGACUCCCUCAUGAAUUGUCACUGGCAGCCUCUGGAUACAGUCCACUCGGACAUCCCAGAUGAGACCCCAAAGUGAAGCAAGGUGUUCAGUAUCUAUCCAGAUUAACUGCAUUUGUUUUUGUUUUUGUAGGGAAAAAAAAAAAAAAAAAAAAAACCUCUUCCAUGAAUGUUCUGGAUUCUGGAUGUAAAUAAAAACUUGCAGUACCUAAAUGUUAUUGAUAUGAUGGAUUAUGAGGUACACUAACUCAUCAGCCCCUCCAUUCCUGGAAGUGUGUUACUUUAAAUAAAUGCCAGAAGAGAUGCUAUGACUAUCUUGGUAGAACAAGUUGCUCUCCGAGACAGAGGAAAACAGGUUUAAUAUAAGUUGGACUUAAAUUUAACUGAUGGUGACAUUAGCUACUCUGUUUUGUGGACUUCCUGUAACAUUAAUUUUCAUGCAAGGUUUUUCAUUUGUAUCUUGUCUAGAAAAUGUCAAUUGGAACUAGAUGUUUGUUCUCCACUGACCCUGGGGUGCUCUGUAAGAAAGCUGGUGUGACGGUGGAAGACAGUGGAGAUGAACUUGUCUCAACUGAACAGAAAGAUUCCUAAGCAUGGAAAAAAAAAAUUGCCUUUUCCAGAUUGUUGAUUUUCUAAGAGGAAAGAAUUGGGCCUUUGUAAAAGCCAGUUCUGGAAAAUAAAUAAAAGUCAGUGCAGAAACUUCAGUGAGUCU
rnacentral:lncRNA from 1 species